AACGACUCUCGGCAACGGAUAUCUCGGCUCUCGCAUCGAUGAAGAACGUAGCGAAAUGCGAUACUUGGUGUGAAUUGCAGAAUCCCGUGAACCAUCGAGUCUUUGAACGCAAGUUGCGCCCGAAGCCAUCAGGUUGAGGGCACGUCUGC
rnacentral:rRNA from 1 species